CUUGACCAAUUGCGAUGCAGCCAGACUGAAAGCCAGGGAAUAAACAAAGCUUAAACCUGCAACCACCAAUACCACAUCCUCUGGAACAUAACUCAACAGCAGCAAAAAGGCAGAACUCCAGAUAGUCAGACACAGACAUUGAAUGAGAAAAUCAAAACAAAAAUAGAUACAGCAGACAAAAGCUUAAGCAGGAGCAAGAGAAACCUUGGUUCUAGAUUGAUCCCUACUUCAUAGCAGAGUUACUUGUUGCCUGCAUUUCGCUCUGUAAUAGGAUGUUGAGCGAUCUCUGUGUAGCACAGUUUAUCUAAUUCCCUUUAUACCGAUUUCUUCUCUUCCUAUUAUUAUAUAAUAAGACGUGACGAAGAUUUGCCCUAGAAAAAGCAUAAACAUUGUACACGUAUUUCUUCAAAAUCUAAGACCGUUCCAUUAGGGCAACUCCAUCGUAUCCCACGAGGGCAAUGUAUUGCAGCGGCGCUAGACACUAGGCAGUACUAAAACACUUGUUAGUUGAGCAACAUUUUUCUAUGACUUUACUUCCUUUUGUUUACUGGGACCAUCCAUCGGAUCUCAUUCUCGUAUUUGUAUUUGCAGGACUGCGUACCAAAGUUAUUGCAGCUACUUCAUCGGUGGUCACAUUAGUUGUUAUUUUGUCGAUGGUGGCCACUGCCCUUUUAUUUUUCACUGAAGACAAGAUAUAACCAAGAAAUACAUUUGAAGGUUGAAAUGUUUCUUAGGACAUAUGGCACAUCAAAACCCAGGAGGUACACUUUCUCUGAAGUUAAGAAGAUAGCAAGACCGUUCCAGCGCGCUCUAGUCUCGGUUGCAAUAUCACGCCACGUCCACUCCCCGGCUCGCGGUCACCACGAACGCAGCAAAAAACGUUGUUGAUUCCAGCUCGUGGUCACCACGGGCACAACAAAAAAUGCAGCUCGUUCCAGCCCGUGGUCACCAGGGUUCGCAGCAAAAACACUGCUGGUUCCAGCCCGCGGUCACCAUAUCCAGCACUGGCAGAGCCGGUCGUAGCAAAAAGGUUGCAAUCGCAGGUCAGAGGUGCUGGAACCGGGUAGAAGAAAAGCUGCAACCACAUCUGGGCGGUGCUGGAACAGGGCGACAGAAAAGCUGUGGCGGCGAGAUGUUUUGCUGCCACCGGCAAUGCGUUUUGCUGGAACCGGCCAAACAAAAG